ensembl:lncRNA
CACGCGACAAGUAUUACAUCCUUUUGCUGGCCAAUGAAAACCCAGAAGGGCAUUUCUGGCGGGCCAGAGAGACACUGGACCAAUGCUAUAGAUUGUGAGCCAUUUUCUGGACCGCUUCGCAGAGAAGGCGGGACUUCUGGCUUUUUACCAGCCCCUUCCCCUGCUGUCUGUGGAGCGGGCCGUGUCACCUGGUGGUUUACUGCCGCAAGGGCGCUUCCGGAGGUUCGUGAGAACUGAAAAGUCAAGAACUUUAGGCCUCUGUGAUUAUCACCUUCCCCAGAGUCCAGAUGACCGUGGCGUGUCCGGAGGGUUCCAUCCAAAGACUGAGCGUGUGCACCAUCUCCUAUGGGGAUAUCCGUCGAACGGAGAUAGACAGAGGCUUCAAAAGACCUCCAGGUCACGACUCUCGCCCGGCCAUUUUCCUGGCUCGCUUUUCCUUGCUACUGACAUAAUAGAUGCUGACAUGAUCUUUGACUAGGACCUCCCGAGACUUUCCCCGAGCGUUUGUUUUUACUUGAUGCCGUGCUUCUCUGCUACACAAUUGCAGAGGUGGCUUUUACUACACUGUUAAUGGUCUGUCAUGGGAUGAAUCACCUUGAACUGGGGUUGACUUCUCACAAACCACUUGGUCUUCCAUAGGAAUCUCUGCUUCCACACUACAGAGCGGGAAAAGGGAAACCAGGAUAGUUGGAAUGAAGCUAUGACCAAAAAGGUCAUAUACCCUGUGAAUGCAAGUCAGGUGUGGAGGGCCCUUGGAAUGGAUGGUUCUGUCUUGUCCAGACACCAAGGAGAGUAGCCAUACCUCCUUUCCGUCUUCCUCUCCCAGUUCUGACGCUUCAUCCUAUUGUUCCCUGACUCCUGGGUUCUAACUGGUGUUCGCUAAGCAUCACUUUUUCUACUUUCCCCCUUAUACUUCAUCUUUUCUGUUUCUGGCCACCACAUAACAUGUCUUGAGCUGGUAUGUAUCCUUAGUUAUUGAAAACUAGCUCUUUGAAACUAGCUUCUUCCCUCUAAUCGUGGGCAUGCUUGAUGAUCCAAAGGCCUGUCUUUCUCUCAUUGCAUAGCACUUAAUGCUAACUUGUGCUUCAGUCUCUCCACUUAGGCUCAUUAGGUGGCAGCCCUGCAGAGAAUUGUUUCCAUAGUGAUGACAGAAAAGCCCAUACUAUAGCCUGCUGCCCUUGAUAUUUGAUCUUUUCAGAAGGGAGAGUGUCAUUACUGUUAAUUUGAUGCAGCUUGCUCUUUGGGGACAGCAAGCACCUAUGUAUGAAAUCUGUUCUUAGCACCUACACAAAACCCUGCCAAGGGCCACCUUUACAAAUUCUCUUCUCCCUAUACUGCCCUCUUCCAACAUUCCUCUCUGACUCCCUUCAUAGAACAUUGGCAUCUUUUUACUACUCAUGCUCCCCAGUAACUGAAAACAAGGGUAUUCAAGGCUGAUGGCUGCAUCUGCCAAUUUGUCUCUGUAAAGGUGUCACAGAUAUUCUAAGCACCUCACCCAUCAUUGUCUCUCCUGUCUCCACUCUAGUGAGAACAUAUUGCUCUUCAAAUGUGGCUCUACUCCGUUCCCGCAGGAUUCUUUCCAUCCAAGGCCUUCCUGGAAAUCCAUAUCUGAAGUCACAUUUAAUUUUUUUAAAAGAUUUAUUUAUUUAUUUAUUUAUUUAUUUAUUUAUUAUGUAUAAGUACACUGUUGCUGUCUUCAGACACACCAGAAAAGACAUCAGAUCUCGUUACAGAUGGUUGUGAGCCACCAUGUGGUUGCUGGGAUUUGAACUCAGGACCUCUGGAAGAGCAGUCAGUGCUCUUAACCACUGAGCCAUCUCCCCAGCCCCUCAGCUUGUACUCUUACUAGCCUAGCCCACUCUAGUCCCUUCUGCCACAAAGGUCAACUAUGUAACAGCCCAGAUCAUCCAUCCACAGGGUUUUGCUUCUGUGCUUCCUUUUGCUAAGAGAUGGCUGACACUGAAUUUUGUAGCUAAUGCUGUGAUGUUAGAACUGAAGAGAAGAUGUCAACCACAGAGAAUGAAAACUGAGGAAAAAGAGCAACUUGGACUUGUCAUCCACUUGCAACUGCUGUGCUUAACUUCUAGAGACCGGACAGUUUUCUAUCCAGUCUGUGGCACACAGGGAUAAUUCUGCUCUGAACACGGCGUCGCUGAAAGAAGAGACCACAGAACAGUCUUUGCCUGAACAGCCAUAGAAAGAUCCAAAACCCAGAAGAGUUCUGGGUAGGCGAAGAAGAGGGACUCCAACUCACAACUCAGCUUUCUAUAGGAGCCAUAACGGUGAUCUCAGAAAGAGCAGGCAAAUCCAC